rnacentral:misc_RNA from 1 species
AAGUCGUAACAAGGUUUCCGUAGGUGGGCCUGCGGAAGGAUCAUUAACACGUAUCCAAACGUUAAAACCCCCCCCGUGAACCUUCAUCCUGCUCUUGUAACCCGCGUAGUUCGCAAUCUCUGAUAAAUCAUAGCCCGGAAAGUUGUAGUGAUUCAGAGACCUCUGGCUACGUGCGAACAUUGGAACAGUUACAAUCGAGCGGUAGUUCUAUAGGCAAUGUUACAACUGUUAACAAUGGAUAUCUUGGUUCUCA